UGCAGCCGUAUCAAAUUCAGUGCCUGCCCACCCAUGGCAGGCACUGGCCCAGAAGGCUGCCACAGAAACACUGUGGUGCAUGGGCCCUGGUCCCCUCUGCUGGGCCUCAGGGAUAAGUUUGGCUACAGACAUCA
rfam:Myotis brandtii contig318480, whole genome shotgun sequence.